GAUGAACGCUGGCGGCGUGCUUAACACAUGCAAGUCGAACGGGAAUUACUUUAUUGAAACUUCGGUCGAUUUAAUUUAAUUCUAGUGGCGGACGGGUGAGUAACGCGUGGGUAACCUGCCUUAUACAGGGGGAUAACAGUCAGGAAUGGCUGCUAAUACCGCAUAAGCGCACAGAGCUGCAUGGCUCAGUGUGAAAAACUCCGGUGGUAUAAGAUGGACCCGCGUUGGAUUAGCUUGUUGGUGGGGUAACGGCCCACCAAGGCGACGAUCCAUAGCCGGCCUGAGAGGGUGAACGGCCACAUUGGGACUGAGACACGGCCCAGACUCCUACGGGAGGCAGCAGUGGGGAAUAUUGCACAAUGGGGGAAACCCUGAUGCAGCGACGCCGCGAGAAGGAAGAAGUAUUUCGGUAUGUAAACUUCUAUCAGCAGGGAAGAUAGUGACGGUACCUGACUAAGAAGCCCCGGCUAACUACGUGCCAGCAGCCGCGGUAAUACGUAGGGGGCAAGCGUUAUCCGGAUUUACUGGGUGUAAAGGGAGCGUAGACGGUGUGGCAAGUCUGAUGUGAAAGGCAUGGGCUCAACCUGUGGACUGCAUUGGAAACUGUCAUACUUGAGUGCCGGAGGGGUAAGCGGAAUUCCUAGUGUAGCGGUGAAAUGCGUAGAUAUUAGGAGGAACACCAGUGGCGCAGGCGGCUUACUGGACGGUAACUGACGUUGAGGCUCGAAAGCGUGGGGAGCAAACAAGAGUAGAUACCCUGGUAGUCCACGCCGUAAAC
rnacentral:rRNA from 1 species